rnacentral:lncRNA from 1 species
AUGAAUUAGGCCUUAUCUGCUCUGCAUGUUUUGAAUGGCUGUCUAUGGACAGGAUGAUGGGAUGAGUGAUACUGGAGGCAUUGCUGUAAAGGAACAAAGCAGGACUGGGGCACUUUGGUGUUCAAGUUCAAACAGAACCCCUCUUAUGGCAUAAGAGCGGACAGAAGGAUCUCGGUCUAGAGAGUGAAAGUGUCAGAUUAAAAUUCAUGAGCUAGAGCAUAAUCUUCGAGAGCAGAGACAAAGAACGGAGCAGCUGGAAUGUAAAAAGGUUUCUAAGAAGGCUAGAGCUGUUUCUGAAAAAAGAAGUCAAACCCCAGAGGGAGAAGCAACAUCUUGCAGACACAUAUAUAAAAAGAAGGAAUCCUGUUGCAGUACGUAUUUAGAGCUAUUGUUGAAGGAGAUUAAAAAGCUGAAGAAAGAAAAUGAAAAGUUGUCUGCAGAAAGGCGAGCACUAAGAAAUGAAUUAGCUGGAUUAGACAAGGAUUUUUUUGAAGAAAUAGAAGAUCUAAAGCAUGCAGUACAGGAAUCUGUGAAACUGAAUAAUCAGUAUGAGAAGUGCUUGAAACAAAUAAGUGCAAUUUAUGGACUUCCUUUAACAGCACCUUUGUGACUAUUAAUUUAAUGGCAAGUAAAUGUUCCGCAUAAUUUUUCAUACUCACUGCAGCAUUGAAACCUCAUCUGGUGUAUGUAGUGCCACUUUUUGAUAAUGUUAUGUGUUCAGGAAUAUGAUUUCAAUAUAACAAGCUAUUCUGAAAGGUUUUUGUAUUGUAUCUUUGAUUUUUGUUUAUAUAGUUUAAAAAUAAACAGUGGCAUGUCUAACUUCUAAGUUUCA